UUUUUUCCACUUCUUCAACCACCAAGCAACAACAAAACUUAGAAAAAAUAUCUUCACCUUUCAAUCUCUCAAACACAAUUCAACUCCAUCUUCAACAUAACACACAAAAAUUUCAUUCAUAUUAUUUACUAAGUAUCAUCAUCAUCACAAACCAACUCCAAAUUUCUCCGCCAUCGUUUCCAACCAACACCAAAUCACCACCGCAUCGGAACACCUUUUUGUUGGAGAAAACUACACAACAACAAACCGUCACUCUUCAAGUUGCAAACCGCCAGAUCCUUCGACUAACUGUAAGUGAGGGAGGGGAACAAUGUAGUUUUGUUGUUUUUAAUUUUGAUGUUGAUUUUUGUUUCUUUUGAAACAUUGGAGGGAGAGAGUUUCCUUUUUUUAUAAAUUCUUUUUUUUUAAAAGAAAAAAAACAAGAUAUAUGUUGUUGUUGCUGGACUGGUGCAGACAAGAAGAGGAAAUUGUUUAACUUUUUAUUUUUAUUUUUCUUUCCUUACUGUUAGCCUCUUAACGUCAUUGUCCCA
rnacentral:lncRNA from 1 species